UCCUAAAUCAGUAGCGCCGUUUACCGGUUAAUCGUGUAGAGUCAAUUCAUUGAGGAACACGAUAGUUUAUUUGAUUCAAACACCUGAAUACAUUCGAUUAGAUGUAUAAUUAUGUCAUCGGCACUGAACAGAUCUGAAUUUAUACGCUCACAAGGCUCCUUACACCCUGAACUUAGUCGCGUGUACAUAUACACAUGCCAAAGAGGGAUUCGAUACGUUUGCAUAAAUCGACAUCAUUUUAACACGUUGUUAAACUACUUAUACUGCAGAGAUCUCGCGAGAUAAUACAGGAGCUAGGAUACUGCUCUCUAUCGCUCACCAUCACGCCAUGCUAUUGUUUUGUUUGUAUAUGACAAUUUUGACGAAUUCUUUCCAUCCUCGUAUUGUACAUGAAACACCAAUGAUCCACGCGAAACCUUUUGUUCGAGUCGUAUGAUAUUUUAGUUAUAAAAAGAAACCAGAUUGUGAAAUACUUACUGAUAUCAUCUGUCGGUACACAAUUAUGGCGUCUGUUUGUACCUCGUCGGUAUAUGCACAUCACAAAUUCUUGAAAUUUGCCCGACUCUACGUUGCAUCGUGAACAAUAAUGGUCAGAGUACGCAGUCACUUAUUGCGAUUGCAAUAAAAGGAAGUGAAACAUGUUUUGUUUUAAAAUACAAUUGAAAGUGAGCGUAUAAUAAAUGGAAUUAUACAAUAAUUAAUUCUAUUACGUUUUUUGAACUAUUUCUCGCCAAAUCGUGUUUGCUAGCGUUAAAAAGUUCGUAAUUAAUACAUAUUUUAUUACAAUUUUAUGUUAAAAUCUUUUUUAAAUACAGGAGCGAUAUUUGCUGGAAUUGUUUACUGGAAAUAAAAUGAGAUAUUGUUCGUUUCUAACUAUCUGCUGAAAAUAAAAUGAGAUGUUGUUCGUUUUUAA